UACGUAGGGUGCGAGCGUUGUCCGGAUUUAUUGGGCGUAAAGAGCUCGUAGGCGGUUUGUCGCGUCGGCCGUGAAAUCUCCACGCUUAACGUGGAGCGUGCGGUCGAUACGGGCAGACUUGAGUUCGGUAGGGGAGACUGGAAUUCCUGGUGUAGCGGUGAAAUGCGCAGAUAUCAGGAGGAACACCGGUGGCGAAGGCGGGUCUCUGGGCCGAUACUGACGCUGAGGAACGAAAGCCAGGGGAGCGAAAGGG
rnacentral:rRNA from 1 species